GGGGAUGUAGCUCAGUUGGUAGAGUGCUUGCCUUGCAUGCACAAGGCCCUGGGUUCAGUCCCCAGCACAUACA
rnacentral:tRNA from 1 species